GCUGGGAAUGGUGCUAAAUGCCUGUAAUACUUCCUACAGAGGUAGGCUGAGGCUGCUGGAUCUCUUGAGGUUGAGUUUUGAGCUGAAGUAGGGGUAAGUUCAUUGUGUGUCUGCACUAAGUUUAGCAUCAAUAUGGUGAGCCCCUCUGGCCUGGAGGCCACCUAGCUGCCUAAGAAGGUAUGACCCAACCUAAGUCAGAAAUACAAUAGGUCAAAUAUUUCUUGUCGGUCAGCAGUAGGAUCCAAACCAUGAGUAGCCAUUGAACUUCCACCCAGUCGAUAUAGGGAGAAUUAGCCUCA
rnacentral:SRP_RNA from 1 species